AUGGCGAUAGGCAAGAACAACCACCUUACAAAAGGCAACAAAAAAGGAGCCAAGAAGAAAGUGGUUGAUCCAUUUUCUAACAAAGACUGGUAUGAUGUGAAGGUGCCGGCCAUAUUCAACAUAAGAAAUAUUGGAAAAACACUCGUCACCAGAACCCAAGGAACCAAAAUUGCAUCUGAUGGGCUCAAAGGUCGUGUGUUUGAAGUGAGCCUUGCUGACCUGCAGGAUGAUGAAGUUGCCUUUAGAAAAUUCAAGCUAAUUACUGAAGAUGUUCAGGGCAAAACCUGCCUGCCUAACUUCCAUGGCAUGGACCUCACCUGGGACAAAAUGUGUUCCAUGGUCAAAAAAUGGCCGACCAUGAUCGAAGCUCAUGUUGAUGUCAAGACUACCGAUAGUUAUUUGCUUCGACUGUUCUGUGUUGACUUUACUAAAAAACGCAACAAUCAGAUCCGGAAGACCUCCUACGCUCAGCACCAACAGGUCAGCCAGAUCCUGAAGAAGAUGAUGGAAAUCAUGACCCGGGAGGUGCAGACAAAUGACGUGAAGGAAGUGGUCAAUAAACUGAUUCCAGACAGUAUUGGGAAAGACAUAGAAAAGGCUUGCCAAUCUAUCUACCCUCUUCAUAAUGUCUUCAUCAGAAAAGUAAAAAUGCUGAAGAAGCCCAAGUUUGAAUUGGAAAAACUCAUGGAGCUUCAUGGUGAAGGUAGCAGCUCUGGAAGGGCUACUGGAGAUGAGACUGGAGCUCAAGUUGAACGAGCUGAUGGAUAUGAACCACCAGUCCAAGAGUCUGUUUAA